rnacentral:rRNA from 1 species
UACGUAGGGUGCAAGCGUUGUCCGGAAUUAUUGGGCGUAAAGAGCUCGUAGGCGGUCUGUCGCGUCUGCUGUGAAAACUCAGGGCUUAACCCUGAGCUUGCAGUGGGUACGGGCAGACUAGAGUGCGGUAGGGGAGACUGGAAUUCCUGGUGUAGCGGUGAAAUGCGCAGAUAUCGGGAAGAACACCCGUGGCGAAGGCGGCUUUCUGGGACGGUACUGGACGCUGAGACGCGAAAGCGUGGGGAGCGAACAGG